AAAAUUAUGUAACCACAAAAAUGAAUACCAACUUUUUUAAAAUAUGAGAGCUAUACACAAUUUUGUCUUUAAAUAUCUUAUUUAAGCAUUUCUCAAUAAUUUAUUAAUUAGGAUUACUUAAAAUAUACAUUAAACCUUCCCUUUGAUAUAAAUAACAUAAAAUUAAAAUACUGACAGUAACGAAACGAAUAAAAAAGGCCUACUGGUAUAUAAUCCACCAAUUUAAUAACUAGUGGACAGACCAAAAAGAUAUAAUAUUGAAAACAACCAAAUAAAUUACAAGAAAUAAAUAGUCUAGUUUUUUAACAACGUUCGAAAACAUUAUAGAGCCGCGGUAAACUCGUGAUCUGAUAUAUGCACUUCUCUUCAAAUACUUUUUUUGGGCAAAUUACCCUUCGGCGAAAUUCAGGAAACAAAUAAUCUUCUAAGCAUGACUCCAAGGAUCUGAUGCUCUUCACAUCACUUUCUUCAUAAGAAAGAGGGAGAGGGACAUAAAAUUUUGCAAUUGCUUUCAUGAUUCCAUUUAAACAUGACUUCUCAUCUAACCAAUCAAAAAACUUAGGAGUCAAACUACUAAUUAACAAAGGAAGUUGCUCAAAAGGUGGAUGAUAUUUAGGACUUAACAUCGGUACAGCUGUCAAUAAUCCACCUGACGUGACACUUAUAGAAAAGUAGUCCUUUAACAUAUCUCGUCGGGAAACUAAUAAACGUGUAAAUUUUUCACUUUCAGAUUUGUCUUCAUCACCAUUGACUAUUUCAAAUAAAUCGGAAAUUGACAAAGGUGUUUCGAGUACAAAUUCGCCGUAAUUUCCAAAUUCAGUGAGACAAAUCUGAUAAAACAGAUGAUAUGAAAGCUUUCCGUAGUCGACCACAUAUAAACCUAUGUUAUGCUGAACCGCCGCAAUUCUUCUUGUAGGACAAACUAAACCUACAUACUUAUGCUCCGUAAGAAUAUUAGUCGCCAGGACAUGCAUUGAAUUUAUAACUUGCUUUUGUAAAGACUUGAUGCUUUCCAAAUCAAUAGAAUUCCCUUCUUCAACAAUUUCUUCAGUUUGAAGAUCUUUUAUGUCAUUUGUUGCAUUUUUAUUCGAGUUGGCCGAAUCAACUUUUUCAAUUAUUUCAUUGUCAUAAUUAUUUGAUGAUCGCUGCAAAAAGUUAUCUGAAAGCAUACUUUUAAUACUUCUUUCACGCGGAUCUGUACGAACCAAAUAAUUUUCAUAGGUUCGCACUGCUUUUUGACUAGAGCUUUCAGCGUUUUUGGUAUUAGAGAUGCUAGGAAUCAUUGCUUGCAAAGGAUACGACCUUUCAGUGUCCGUCCGUUCCAAAAUUUCACCUAGUUUAUCACAGAUAGAAGUUGCAAUCUCUUGGUCAUACAAAAAAUGAACAAUCCUCUUCGAAGGAUGGACAUUAACAUCCAAUUGCUCAGGACUCAUAUUUAACGAUAAGUAAACAAAGUAAGAUGCUCCUUUAUGAAGGUAUUUAGCAUAAGUCUCCUCAAGAGCGUGUCGCAGUUCAACCGAUUCCACUAAUCGAUUAUUAAUAAAUAAAAUUAAAUUGCUUUUUUUAUCUUGAAAGUCUGCAUUGCUAAUAAAACCAUUGGCCGAAAAUCCAACAAUAGACGAUUGUCCUUCUCCUAAAGAAAAAUCUCUCAAAUGACUAGCCACUCUUGGUCCAUAAAUAUGUCUAAUUUUAUCCGCUUUGGAAAGCCUAGAGCUUAAAGAUAAAGAGGCAACGGUGUCACCAACCUUCUUACAGUUGAAUGAAACUUGGUCAUUAUGAAUUGCAUAUUUUUGAACCAAGAUCAUUAUGCGACGAAAUUCCUCUGACCCAUUUUUUAAAGCUGAUUUGCGACUACGUACAUUGUAAAAUAAAUCUUCAGCCGUUAUUACAGUCCCUUGCUUCCCAGCACAAGGUUGGGGAGCAGGACUCAUUCCAGGGCUAAU
rnacentral:lncRNA from 1 species